AGCGAACGCUGGCGGCAGGCUUAACACAUGCAAGUCGAGCGGGCCCUUCGGGGUCAGCGGCGGACGGGUGAGUAACGCGUGGGAACGUGCCUUCUGGUCUGAAAUAACCCUGGGAAACUAGGGCUAAUACCGGAUACGCCCUUUUGGGGAAAGGUUUACUGCCGGAAGAUCGGCCCGCGUCUGAUUAGCUAGUUGGUGGGGUAACGGCCUACCAAGGCGACGAUCAGUAGCUGGUCUGAGAGGAUGAUCAGCCACACUGGGACUGAGACACGGCCCAGACUCCUACGGGAGGCAGCAGUGGGGAAUAUUGGACAAUGGGCGCAAGCCUGAUCCAGCCAUGCCGCGUGAGUGAUGAAGGCCUUAGGGUUGUAAAGCUCUUUUAUCCGGGACGAUAAUGACGGUACCGGAGGAAUAAGCCCCGGCUAACUUCGUG
rnacentral:rRNA from 1 species